CAGAUAAAUAAGAUUUAAACCAGGCUAGAACAUGUCCACGUAGCCCAAUAUUGGUUUCCAGUCUCUCUAAGAGAAGGGAGUGAUCAAUAGUGUCAAAAGCAGCACUAAGAUCAAGAAGCAACAGGACGGACGCGGAACCUUUGUCUAAGGCCAUUAGAAGGUCAUUUGUUACCUUCACGAGUUCAGUCUCAGUACUAUGAUGGGAUCUAAAACCGGACUGGAGUUCAUAAAUGUUUUUUGUCUUUAGGAAGGCAUUCAGUUGUUGGGAAACACAUUUUUCUGAGAUUUUUGAGAGGAACGGGAGGUUCGAUAUUGGCCUAUAAUUGUUUAAUAUGUCGGGAUCUAGAUUAGAUUUUUUAGAAGAGGCUUCAUUUCCGCAAUUUUUUGUGAGUUUGGUACGCAUCCGGAGGAAAGGGAGCAAUUUAUUAUGUUCAGCAUUGGCUGACCUAGCACAGGAAAUAACUCCUAAAGUAAUUUUGUAGGAAUCGGGUCUAGCUGAGAGUUAGUGGGUUUAGAACUCAUUACAAAUUUUGUAAAUGUGUCGAGCGAUACGGUAUCAAAAAAUUCAAGUGUCCCCAUUGACACCUGGUCAGGGAGGUUCAGGAAAUGUUUUGGACAACUGAGAUUUUGAGGACCAUAACUAUUUAAGGAGGAGUCAGUUAUUUGUUUUCUAAUGGUGACAAUCUUUUCAUCAAAGUAGUUCAUGUAUUCAUUAGAACUAAGGUGAAGACCCACUUCACUUGCUAAGCUUUGCUUUUUUGUUAACUUUGCAACUGUAUCAAAGAGAAAUUUUGGAUUGUUUUUGUUAGCCUCAAUCAGGUUGGAGAAAUAAGCUGAUCGAGCAGACGUGAGUGAUUUUCGGUAUUGUACUGUACUGUCUAUCCAGGCUAGUCUAAAUACUUCCAACUUGGUGGAGCGCCACUUUCGCUCCAAUUUUCUGGAGGCUUGCUUAAGUGCUCUAGUAUUGUCGGUGUACCAAGGAGCAAGUUUCUUGUUGCGUAUUUCUUUAGUUUUUAGUGGUGCAACUAUGUCUAAUGUAUUUCGCAGUAUUGAGUUUAGAUCCUCGAUUUGAUCGUUUACAGAUUUAUUUACUCUGUCAUUUAAGAGCGAACUAG
ensembl:lncRNA